AGGAGCUCAGGGUGCAGCAGAAAAUCAGGAAGUGAUGCAGAACGACCCAACCAAAGAAGACAGGCCACAUGCACCAGGAGGCGGAGAGCCGCUGAAUCUCACCUUUCCAACAUCAUUUCCACGCAGGACUUUCAGAGGACAUCUGUGUCCUACAGGAGGUCUAAAUUCCCACUCUGCAGGUUCUCGUGGCCAUGUGGCUCUGUCCUCUCUGCCUCUGUGGUGGAUGUCUGCAACUCCAGCACGCCACUCUGCCCCCUCCGCAUCUCAACUCAAGGUCUCUGGGCUCUGCUAGCCCUCUCACAACCCUUCUCCUUCCUCCACACCAGAUCUCUGGACCUCAAGGCUGUCAGGACACCGUGAGGUAGUCUCAGAAAAACAGAAUUCUGUGCAAACCAGAAAUGGUUUUCCACUUUUCCCCUGUGCCCACCCGUCUCUGUGCACCUUCCGAACCCCUGAGGACGCAGAGGACACAGUGCUGCGCUGGCUCUGGCGGAGUCUCCAGGAUGAAUGAAGAGGGAGAGAAAGUCUCCCCUCGCUCUUUCCCUCUCCCUCUCUCUCCCUCUAACCUCCCCCCACGUCCACCUUGCCGGGCUUCCUUUUUGCGGUGCAAGUGGUCAGCAGGCUGCAGUGGGGAGGAGGGCAGGAGAGGUCAGGGUUAAGCUUAAUUAUAAGGAAAUACAAUCUCUCUGGGGCGGCUGUGGGAAAGGAGAGCAGAUAAGAUCAGCGAAAGUGUGCGCCAAGGGCCUUGGAAGGCAGCCCCUCUGCAAAUAUAGGAUUGGCUUUUGUUGUUGCUGCUGUUAAUAAAACAGAUGUUCUCAAAGCAUUCCUCCAACCAGUGACAGGGCUUGGAAAAUUGCUGUCCCUUUAUUGGUUGCUGAAACCAAAUAAAAAUCAAAUUAAAGUUUAA